UACGAAGGGGGCUAGCGUUGUUCGGAAUUACUGGGCGUAAAGCGUACGUAGGCGGAUUUGUAAGUAGGGGGUGAAAUCCCCAGGCUCAACCUGGGAACUGCCUUCUAGACUGCAAGUCUCGAGAUCAGGAGAGGCGAGUGGAAUUCCGAGUGUAGAGGUGAAAUUCGUAGAUAUUCGGAGGAACACCAGUGGCGAAGGAGACUCGCUGGACUGAUAAUGACGAUGAGGUACGAAAGCGUGGGGAGCAAACAGG
rnacentral:rRNA from 1 species